AUAUUGCACAAUGGGCGAAAGCCUGAUGCAGCAACGCCGCGUGAGUGAUGAAGGCCUUCGGGUCGGAAAACUCUGUCCUCAAGGAAGAUAAUGACGGUACUUGAGGAGGAAGCCCCGGCUAACUACGGGCCAGCAGCGGCGGUAAUACGUAGGGGGCUAGCGUUAGCCGGAUUUACUGGGCGUAAAGGGUGCGUAGGCGGUCUUGCAAGUCAGGAGUGAAAGGCUACGGCUCAACCGUAGUAAGCUCUUGAAACUGGGAGACUUGAGUGCAGGAGAGGAGAGUGGAAUUCCUAGUGUAGCGGUGAAAUGCGUAGAUAUUAGGAGGAACACCAGUU
rnacentral:rRNA from 1 species